CCCAACUAUCCCUAUUAAUCAUUACGUCGAUCCUAGAAACCAACGAAAUAGGAUCAAACGUCCUAUUUCAUUAUUCCAUGCUAAUGUAUUCAAGCUAAUGCUUGCUUUAAACACUCUAAUUUUUUCAAAGUAACAGUCCUGAUUCCCCACGACACCAAAUUAAUGACAUCAUGCUUCGUCAGAAGGGAGAAACCAAUUGUACCAGUUCAUACCGUAGGCACGACCGAUAAAUUGAUCCCGAAAUUCAACUACGAGCUUUUUAACUGCAACAACUUUAAUAUACGCUAUUGGAGCUGGAAUUACCGCGGCUGCUGGCACCAGACUUGCCCUCCAA
rnacentral:misc_RNA from 2 species